AACGAACGCUGGCGGCAGGCUUAACACAUGCAAGUCGAGCGCCCCGCAAGGGGAGCGGCAGACGGGUGAGUAACGCGUGGGAACGUACCCUUUGCUACGGAAUAGCUCCGGGAAACUGGAAUUAAUACCGUAUGUGCCCUACGGGGGAAAGAUUUAUCGGGGUAUGAUGAGCCCGCGUUGGAUUAGCUAGUUGGUGGGGUAAAGGCCUACCAAGGCGACGAUCCAUAGCUGGUCUGAGAGGAUGAUCAGCCACAUUGGGACUGAGACACGGCCCAAACUCCUACGGGAGGCAGCAGUGGGGAAUAUUGGACAAUGGGCGCAAGCCUGAUCCAGCCAUGCCGCGUGAGUGAUGAAGGCCUUAGGGUUGUAAAGCUCUUUCACCGGAGAAGAUAAUGACGGUAUCCGGAGAAGAAGCCCCGGCUAACUUCGUGCCAGCCGCCGCCGUAACAC
rnacentral:rRNA from 1 species